UUUCAAGGUUGCUACCAUCUGCCCCUUGUUAGCUUUCGGCCUCCGAGAAGUACCACAUAGUAACCAAGUAAAAAUAUAUCUUGGUGAUAUACAAAGAAAAUGCUACUCUGUACAAAUUUCAGAUGCAAUGUAAAGUGACAGUGAAAAGUUAACCAGGAAGGGCAAAGACCUAGUGGAAGCCACUAAGCUUCAGGAGAUGGUAUUGAUACUUCAUUGUCAGACUGUGUGAGCAUGUAAAUUUGCGUGCCUGGUGACAAGUAAACAUGAUCAUCUAUGUAACAUCCACCACAGUUGACAGGAAGUGCAACUCAAAGCAUUAGAUAACCUAUAAAAGCAGUUUAUCACUAUGGAUGCAGUAACUAAACACAAAGAAACACUGCUGUGAAUAUGAGGAUGUCAGAGAUCUAUAAGUAAUUUAAUAAUGAACCAGUGUGAUUCAGAAAGUGACAGUGAUUGAAACAUUAGUAAAUUGUGCUACAGUAAUUACACUUUGCUGUUAGAAUGUGACUGGAAUGUUCUAGUUAAAGUCAGUGUGAUGUGUCCAAUAUAGAUGAUUUGCUCUCAACCAACUGACAUGCUAUACAGCUGUAAAUAUAUACAGGGUGUUUCACUAAAUGUGUUUGUAAGUUAUGAAGUAAUAGGCAGUGGAAAUAUUUAUUGCGGUAGGUCACCAUAAGAAAUGUUACACUAUCUGCAGAGCUGUGAACAUAGUUUAUUGUGUUAUUAUCCAAAGAGUUACAGCAAAAAUAUACAAUUUUUUAAAUGGAACGAUAGUUGUUUCUAUCAUGCACUGGAAUCAGUAACACCAGCUGUAUAUACAUCAAUUUAAAUUACAUUCCUAGCACUUUUAAUUUGGUAGCUACAACCCUUCAAAGUUUCAGGGGCAGAUACCGCACACACUGCGCAUAACGCAAUGCACCUUCUACGUGUGGUGUGGCUGAGUUGUAAUGUCGCCAGUGUCACGGAACAAGAAGCUUCCUCGAUGUGCUGUUAGACUGCAGAGUGUCACUGCACACGGCUUUAUACCUGACAGUUUGAGCCACACAAACGGGGAUCAAUAUACCACAGUUACUGGCAUUGGAUGAAUAUGGCAUACACAAACAAUGAGUACGUUUACAUGUUGCUGAUGCUCAGCGAGUGCCGACACAAUGCCACUGAAGCAGCCAUGGCAUAUGCUGUGAGAUAUCCUAGGCGAAGAGAUCUGGCAGCCAUUACAUUCUUAUGGAGUUGUUUUUAGCUGCAGUACACCACGAUCCACAUGUCAGCUUACUAACCGUUGCUGCAGUCGCUGGUGUCAGUCUCACAUCUGUGUGGUGUAUAGUACAUGCCCACAGGUUUCACCCGUACUGCCUGUCACUGACCCAGGAGCUGCAGGGGAAUGAUUUCCGUGCAAGAGUUACAUUCUGUGAAUAGGCCGUGCGUAAUUUCACGCUGGAGUCCUUACAAGGUGUUAGUUCUCAGAUGAGUCCAUGUUCACAAAUUAUGGUGCAGUGAAUCGCCAUAACACGCACUACUGGACCACAGACAAUCCUCAGUGGGUACGACCUGUCGACCGUCAAUGUAGGUGGUCUAUUAACGUAUGGUGUGGAAUCGAGACUACUUCACAGUUACACUGACAGGUGAAUUAUAUUGUGCGUUUAUAGUCGAAAGUUUGGGUGGUCUCCUUGAACGUGUGUGUCUACACAUGAGAGUCCAUAUGUGGAUGCAGCACGAUGGUCACCCAGCCCAUUCUGCGCACGCUGUUGUGGAAGAACUAAACAGCAGGUUUGCGGGAAGGUGGUUGGGAUACCAUGGUCCUCAUUCAUGGCCUGCAAGAUCGCCCGAUUUAACACCAUUAGAUUUCUUUUUGUGGAGAUAUCUAAAGGAUCGUGUUUAUGUCACUGAGCCCACAUCCCCAGAUGAUCUAAAACGGCACAGGAUGCAUGUUGCUCUGUGACACUGGCGAUGUUACAUCUCGUCCAUAGAUCCUUAAGAAAGCACAUUGCAUUGUGCAUUCAGGAACAUAGACACACAUUUGAACAUCACAUUUAAAUCAACUUCCCACCUCCAGAACAUCCAUCACCCACAACACAGCCAUGUAUUAUGUACAGCGUGUGGUAUCUGUCCCUGAAACUUUGAAGGGUUGUAGCUCCCAAACUAAAAGUGAUAGGAAUGCAAUUUAAAUUGAUGUAUACACUGCUGGUGUUACUGAUUCCAGUGCAUGAUAGAAACAACUAUUAUUCCAUUUAAAGAAUUGUAACUUUUUGCUGUGACUCUUUGGAUAAUAACACAAUUAACUAUGUUCAUAGUUCUGCAGACAGUGUAAUGUUUCUUAUGGUGACCUAUCACAGUAAAUAUUUCCGUUGCCUAUUGCUUCGUAACUUAAGGAGGCAAGCACAUUUAGUGAAACAAUCUGUAUAUAUGAAGCUAACUGUUAAUCUUGUGGCAAUAUUGAGCAACAGCAGAUUAACUUGUAAGUUAUUUUGAAUGAAGUGUAGUGUAGGCAAUGGUAGAUACAUCUAAAUUGAAUUGUAUAGAGGUAGGAUAAUGCUGGAUUACACAUGAUUGUUGACUGUA